rnacentral:lncRNA from 1 species
CUCACAGAAAGCAUUGUGGACUGCAUUUCCCAUAAUCCACCGUACUCCAGUGAAUUUCAAUGCUGCCUCAACUGCGCCACGCCCACGUCCUCCUCCACAGGUAAACGGAGCGCGCGCGAGGAGCAGAGUAAUCUGGAGAAGCUGAGCGCGAGGACGGAGCAUCAGCUGUAAGAGGUAACGGACUGUACAGGGAGAAGCUGUGACAGUGUAGGGAAUUUGCGGAGUUUGAUCUCACAGAGUCAUCUCAGAGUGACAGACCUGCAGAGAGAGACUGAACAGGAGAUUAUACGUGUGAGACAACAGCUGAGAUCAGUACGGCUACAGCAGAAAAUCCUGACCUGUGAACUACCAAGUCAAGAUAUUCUGCAGACUGAGGCUGAACACUUACCACAAAGAGCCGUAAACACAGAGACCUGUAACGUAAGUAGCCUAGACUCACAGUGACCAAUUACAACCAGUGUUAGUGUACACCCACUGGCCACU